rnacentral:misc_RNA from 1 species
AAAUUAUUGUUCCAAAAUGCAAACAACCAAAGGCUAAGAAUAAAAAAAUCUCAGUAACACAAAUCUUAGCUAAUUUCAUUACUCUUAAUAUUCUGCGAAUUUUGGGAUUUGGAUAUUUUGGUAGCAUAUUCAAGUAGUGAACAUGGUUUUUUCUUUUAUUGAUACUAAUUUAUUAUACUUAAAAGAUAUGAGAAAAUCUAUCUAGUUAUUCUUUUUUCGUUCUGGUAAAA